rnacentral:rRNA from 1 species
GACGAACGCUGGCGGCACGCUUAACACAUGCAAGUCGAACGCUCUCGACCUUCGGGUCACAUGGGAGAGUGGCGAACGGGUGAGUAACACGUGAGAAACCUGCCCUAAAGAUUGGGACAACCACUGGAAACGGUGGCUAAUACCGAAUAUCUUCCUUUGGCCGCAUGGUCAGCUGAAGAAAUGCUCCGGCGCUUUAGGAGGGUCUCGCGGCCUAUCAGCUUGUUGGUGAGGUAAUGGCUCACCAAGGCAUCGACGGGUAGCUGGUCUGAGAGGACGAUCAGCCACACUGGAACUGAGACACGGUCCAGACUCCUACGGGAGGCAGCAGUGGGGAAUCUUGCGCAAUGGGCGAAAGCCUGACGCAGCGAUGCCGCGUGGGGGAUGAAGGCUCUCGGGUCGUAAACCCCUUUCAGCAGGGACGAAAAUGACGGUACCUGCAGAAGAAGCCCCGGCCAACUACG